rnacentral:rRNA from 1 species
UGCCAGCAGCCGCGGUAAUACGUAGGGGGCGAGCGUUGUCCGGAUUUAUUGGGCGUAAAGGGCGUGUAGGCGGCUCAUUAAGUCCGAAGUGAAAACUCGGGGCUCAACCCCGAGCCUGCUUCGGAUACUGGAGAGCUUGAGUGCUCUAGAGGGCAGUGGAAUUCCCGGUGUAGCAGUGAAAUGCGUAGAGAUCGGGAGGAACACCAGUGGCGAAGGCGACUGCCUGGGGAGUAACUGACGCUGAGGCGCGAAAGCUGGGGGAGCAAACGGGAUUAGAUACCCCGGUAGUCCCAGCCGUAAACGAUGAGUGCUAGGUGUAGCGGGUAUCGACCCCCGCUGUGCCGGAGUUAACGCAAUAAGCACUCCGCCUGGGGAGUACGGCCGCAAGGUUGAAACUCAAAGGAAUUGACGGGGGCCCGCACAAGC